AAGCUGCUCACCCUUUUCUGCAGGAUGGAGCCCAAACCCACAGGCAGGCUUCCUUGGGUUUUGUAAGGUUUGACCUACAAGGGACUGGUAGAGUCUGUAAGGCCGUUGUGGAUGUGUCCCUAAUGUGCAGAUCAUCUUUCUCACAAUGCAUUGAAUAAUUUCUGAGCUGGAAGAGUGGAGAGAGCCUGUGCCUGGGAACCAGGCGAGCCACCCCCUCUCGGUGUGUACUGGUUUAUGUCCUGCACUGUUCUUAUGGGCUCUAGUCCUACUGUGAAUUCCACUGACAGCAGUAAAACACUGACAACUCCCCCAGGUGGACCUGAGCAGGAUCAGAGCUCUUGGGAGAUGAAAGCAAGUCCGAUGGUGCGAAAGAUGUAUUUUCUCUUAUCCCAAAAUAAGAGAAGCCUCCUUUUGCCCUAGACACGAUUAUUGCAAGUGCAACAGGUCAAUGUAGGUUCCAGCCCUGUAAGAGGAUGCACCAGUUAAUGCAGCAAACUUCAGAAAUUCCCUUUCCUUUCUCUGAGGUCACUUUAAUCCCUUGAGUGUCCAGAGAUUAAAAGAUAUUUGAUGAACAUCCUAAACAUUCAUUGCACAUUUCCGGUAUCCAGCUGACCUCAAAUCCUGAAUGCAAUGAAUUUGCAUUUGCUUCUAAAAGUGUCUCAUUUUGUGAAUCAAACUGUCAUCACAUUUGAAAAUGAGACAUUUGUAUCUCUUGGAGUUUAAACUGCGGGAUCAAUUUCCCAUUAAUACUAAGGGUGUUUAAAGGACAAAUUCUCUGCCUACUGCAGUGAAAAUUUACCCCGAGGUAUGACAUUUCACCUGCCACCGAGUAUAAGAGGGCUGAAUAUAAUGGACUGGAAUAGCUAGAUUUGCACAUGCUGGUAACAAAAGCGGGUGAGCAGUGGAGGAUCCCAUUACAGAAAACCUUUCCUAUUUGUUUUCUCCUCCUCUUUUUUCAGCCUUCAAAACUUGCAUGCUCUUUGCAGUUUAUAGAACCGCACUGCACUAUUCAAUAGCCUGUGCCUGAAUUGUCACAGUUUAAUCAUGUACCAUAUGAGUGGAUAAAGAUAGCCCUGAAGAGCUUCCACUCAGAAGGGCAUGAAGAAAUGGGAGCACCAGGGUACAUACCAAGCCUCAGAGCUGAGCAGCAGCCACACAGCCUGGCUCCAGCUUCACCAGUUCCUGUGCAGGACUGCAGAGCUACGAGUCCCAUCACAUGCUCUUCUGGUCACAGCUAUGCUGAUGGGCAGGGCUUUGCCACAGCUUGGCUCUGCUCCUCGGUGUGUCUCCAUCCUGUGUUAGAAGAGAGGAGGAGGACAGUUGGCACGCCUCAACCCCCUCCUCCUCAAUGAAAUAUGGAGGCAACUGGAGCGAGCCAGCAGCAAGCUAAAGCACACAGAAUAGCUGCAGAUAAUGUGAACCCAGGGGCAUGGUGAACCUGAGCCUCUGCUGAGGCAUGUUUCCCUGAGGAAGUGCCAACAUAACCUCGGAAAACAUACCAUGGAAUUGCACCAUACUGUCCCUCCCUUGUGCUAUCAUGGAAACCAGAUGCCAGGAUGGAAAAGCACCAGGAGCUGAAUAUAAAAGCUUCAAGUGUCAGAGAGCCCUGCUCAGCCCUACCUUCUGCUGCAGGCCAUCUAUGCUUCCUGGCAUUCCCUGGUCUCUUGCCAAUUCCCAUCAACAGCUGUGGUUUGUGGUUGUAAUGCUCAGCAUUUGUCUUCUCUUUCUCCUAGCAGACCUGCAUCAAAGCUGGAUGUGCAGCAUGUAGCAGUUUGGGAGUCCCAGAAUUGGCCUCCAAGCACAAAACCAAAUCCUUCCUUACUGCUUUAUCUUCCCCAAAGUCUGAGAUGCUGCAAGAGUGGGUCUGUAACUCUUCCAGGCCCUCCCGAUGGACUGUGUGAGGAAAGGACAACAUAAGGUUGGUAAGAGACAACAGCAUCAUUGGGUGGAAAAGCUGUGCUUCAGGGGGAAGGUUUUCAAAUGUUCUGCAUUGAACAAAUUAAAGAUUUAUUGCAGAAUAAACCUGCAGCCAUUCCUUCUCCCUGACAGUCACUCUAUUGUAAUUUCAUCCCUUUGCAGCCUUUCCAAACCCAUCCAUUUCUUCUGAAACUUUUGUCCAAGCCCGCGUUUGACACGAGGUCUUUUCCUGCACUAAGGUCUCCUGCUCUGCCGUAUUUCAUGGUAGCCAUUCAGCCUUCCAGUGGGGACACAUGCCCCCUCUUUGCCAUCUGGCCACAUUCAAGUCCUCAGAGUGCAGUCCCCUCUGUGCUAAACCCACGCUUGUCACACUCAUCUGCAAAGCCUCUCACAAGCUCAGGGCCAGAGCCUGUCAUCUGAACGCACUGAGUUAUGCCUCAGGACAGAAGUGACCCCAUUAAAACCAUUUAGAAGCACA